UCACACCGGUUCCUGUACGAUAACCAAAGUUAAGCAAUGUCAAGCCUGGUCAGUACCUAGAUGGGCGACCGCUUAGUAAUACCAGGUGCUGUAA